rnacentral:lncRNA from 1 species
UUUCAAUUUAAAUACCGUACAGGAGAUUUAUUAUUUGCACAAUAGAAUAUACAGAUACACAUUCACACAGCAAAUAAGUAAAAAAUAGAGAUUUGAAACAUGUUUUUGGUUUUGCCUUUCAAAUUUAAUUGAUCUAACAAGGUAAGGUAACGAUGUGCUAUUGCUUUUAUCCCAUUUAAAUUGUUUAUUUCAUGUUGUUGAAUAUUCUGCUUAUGAAAGUUUUAAAAUAUGAUAUGAUAUGUGUUUUAUCGUCAUCCGGUACUAAAGAUAUGAUUUUUAUUGAGUUCUUACCGAUUUCUAUAGAUUGAUGACAAUAUGAUAUUUGGUUACAUGUAUUUAAAUAUUUUUAUUUUGGAUUGCAGCAUGAUUUUUGUGUUCUAUUGAGUAUUCACAUGUACUCACCCUUUUUCCCCUACUCCUAACAGAUUAGAAUAAGUUGUUGGUUGGAGGGCGAUGAGGUACAGUCGUCCUCGGUUGAGCCUUUUCGCCUCUCUCCCGGUCGGUGGUUGAGCGACUUGAAGCUUCUUCGGAAUUCAAUAAAAAUAAUUCGGAGUAACAUGACCAUGGACCUUUAUUUUUCAGCGUUAUUUAGUUUUAUUUCCAUUUGGAAUUUGUUAUUUAGGAUUUGAGACAUGUUUCAAUCAAUUAUGUUUCCUAUAUGUUUUAUUUAUUAUUGGUGGAACGUAUAUCAAGAUGUUGGAAUGUUUGAUAAAUUUAUUUAACUAUGAGAAUGAAACUUUUAGUAACGAAUUAAAUAUUUAAAAUUUGGGUCGUGAGAUCAAAGAUGAUUUUCAGAUAUAUGGAAAUGCAUAUAUAGUAUGAGGGAGUUUUUAAUUGCUUCAGAUAGUAUUUUGCAUUCUACAUUUGCAACUUGCAAGAUGAUUUGUAGUGACUAUUGUUGUGUACGUAAAUAGUGUUUUCAGAAAUUAUAUUUUUAGCUAAACCAUGCCCUUACCGACUUAGAUAUCUACCUCUGCUACUUCUGGUUGAAUGGUGAGUUAAAUGAUUGAAAGGAGAGUCAUAACUGACCUGAUAUCUUGAAGGGUAAAAAAAUGUGUAUAUGUUCAUGCACAUUAGUAAUUAUAAAUGAAAUAAAUGUCGAAAAAACCGAUAUUAGUUCUACAUAGUGAGAUUCUAGAGAUGCUUUCAUACAAAUAUUUCUAGACUUUCGAACAAAAAGGAUGGAGCAAGUCCAUUGUUGGAUUAAAUUUCACCCGUUUGCAUUCAUUCUUGCCUACAAACAUAGAACUCAACAUUUGGCAUGGUUUGCAAUUUUUUUGGUGAUCAUCUUUGUAUGGUCCACAAUUGCAUACUUGUAAUUCUAAACAUAUUUUUAUAUUAGAUAUAAAAUGAUAUGAGUUCAUGACUACACUAAUAUUUUACACGCUAAAUUUUAAUGUGCUUUAAAUUUAUGACAUAUUAUGAGGAUGAUCCAGACUUCAUAGAUUUCGAGAAUGACUUUGAGUCUGAGCAAGAUGACAUCCAAUAUGACAGAAAUGUGAUCAAUGAGAUUGAAAUGGGAUUGAAUAAAGGGGACCAGGGCAAAUAAAUAAAGCUUGAUCCUCAAUCAAAUAAAUAAUAAAGAGCCAACAUCUGUCAUUCUCUGGAAAAAAUCUAACUACACGAAGGCUUGGAGAGAAAUCUAUAGAUAUCCUCUCAUUUGAAGAGAAAUACAUGCAAUUCAAAUAUCUUCUUAUCAAAUAACUAUUUUCCUUCUUACUCCUGCUUGAGCAUCAUAACUUGUGAGUUUAGUAAGUGAAAAUCAUAGCUUGGUGAGUGGGAUUUGUUGAUCCAAUUUUUAUCUUCAGUAAAUUUGCCUCGUCUAUGACAAAUACUUGAAUCAAGUAGAUAACAAAAUCUUAUUACAUUUGAAAAAGUUCGAAAUCUCUAAGAUUUGAAAUGAUGAGUCAGACUGAAAAGAAACCAAAGAAGAUAAAAGUGUUAUAGGUAGAAGUCGAAAAAUACUGAGACUGUCCACCAUAUAGUGACGUUAAUCCUAAGUGGCAUAGAUAGGAAAAUUUGGCGGAAGCGCAAACCAACAUUUUUCCCUCACAACGUUGUUGUGAAAGAAAAUGUCUGCUGCCAAAACUAUUCAAGAGAUGGUUGAAAGCUUGAAAAUGCUGACAUCGGCGAAUGCUUCUUUGUGUGCAAAGAUGAAAAACAUAAAGGCAAGCACACGGAAGAAAUUUGAAGAAAAUGCAGCUAAUUUAUUAAUAGCACUUUUCAUGAUAAUACGAAUGUGCAUGAGUAAAAAACCUAUAAUAGUACUCUAAGAAGGCUGCUCAUGUGGCGUCACAGGAAUAGGCCUACCGUUAAAAGGUUUUCGGAGGAGGUUAUCUCACAUAACACUCCACUUGAUGAGGAAUAUGAUAAUCGACCUACUAGGUCAUAUGAAUUGGAUAACGAUAAUGAACAACUACCUUUCUCCAUGAAGAUCAAUGAGAAAACCAUUGGUACCCAUGGCCGAAACCCUUUACAGAAGAAUACUUUGAUGCCUAGAGGACAGUAGACAUGGAGAUAAGUGAUAAGCCAAUUGUAUGCAAUGAAUACAUAAACUUCCUAAUCGCAGAUAAUAGAUUCGUAUAUAAUGAGAACUUUGGAAGCUCACCUUGAAACAGCUAAAAGCUGUAACAUCUACCCUCCACCUGUGCUUAAGUAGCUCGUGAGAUCUAUGUCAGCAGCUAAAGGAAAGUAGCCUUAAGGACUCCUCUAGUCAAUGCUACCCUAACUAUUUUAGGAAACAUGCUUUGAAAACCUCUUUCAGGAAAGUAAACAUCCGAUGUUGUCAAGGAUGGGUUAAAACCUAUCUUCCAGUAAAGAAAGUUUUGCAAGUACUAGGAAAACCUUGUGUGAGAAAUUUUUAAAACUGAACCUGGACUAUGAAUACAAUCAUAGCAACUCUGUAAAAGAAAAGUUGAAAGGCAAGCCUCUUUUCGCCUAUUAUAAAACUCAGAAUAUUGGCUAGAUUAAUCCUGCUGAUGUACCCACCUCUUAAGGAUAGACCCUAUUGAUCCCAAAAAUGUACCAAUAGAAUCCUGAUCUUGCCCAUUCUAUGUAGAUAUCACAUGCACAUCAAACAUAAGGAACUAAGUGGAAAUAGCUGAUAGACCCGGCCAUAUUUUCACAGUGGCCUUUGACCAUUUGAAAAAAAAAAAAAGUGAAAAAUUGAUUUAGAUAUAUAAAUUAUCAUUUGCCAUUUUUGCCCCUAUCUUUAACCAAGAGAUAAAGAGAAAAAAGGAAUAAAAACGAAAUUUUUUCAAAUUUCACAUAGUCGGUUGUUACAGCUAGAUUCAAUCAAGAGUUACCAUCUCUACAGUCUACCCAACGUUGCACGACUAUUAUCUACAACAAAGUUUUUUGUAGGAAUAAAAGAAUAAUUUUCAAUCUUGCAUUCGUUGUAGAAUUUGUAAUUUAAAUUGUUAUUUAUUAUGUUUAUUCUUCACUAUUUAGGCAGACUAUUGGUUUAGAAUAAAAAAAAAAAAAAAAUUCUUUUGGUACCAAAAAUGAUAGAAAUCUCACCAUUUCCUUCGAGAGCAGUCGGCCCUCUUUUCUUUUCUUUUUUGUUUCACUUUUUUUUUUUGGUUCUUUUUCCAUUUUUUCUUUUCUUUUUUUCUUUUCUAUUUUCCUUUUUGUUUUUUUCCCUUUUUACCAUUUUUUUGUUCUUUUCUUCCCCCCCCCCCCCCCCCCCUUUUGACCUUUCCUUUUUUCCAUUUUUCCCUUUUUUUAUUUUUUAAAUAGACUAUUGGAUCGAGUUUUCGUUUAAGCCGAAUAGUCGGCCCAUUUUUUUUCUUUUUUUUUUUUCCCUUUGAUUUUGCUUUUUUCCUUUUUUUCCCUUUCAAUUUGAAUUAAAAAAUUUUAUAAUGACCUUUUUUCUGCAAUUCAUUUUUUUUUUUAUUAAUAUCAGUGUAAAAUGAAUUUACAUCUUGCG